CCUACGGGUGGCAGCAGUAGGGAAUCUUCCACAAUGGGCGAAAGCCUGAUGGAGCAACGCCGCGUGGGUGAAGAAGGUCUUCGGAUCGUACAACCCUGUUGUUAGAGAAGAAAGUGCGUGAGAGUAACUGUUCACGUUUCGACGGUAUCUAACCAGAAAGCCACGGCUAACUACGUGCCAGCAGCCGCGGUAAUACGUAGGUGGCAAGCUUUAUCCGGAUUUAUUUGGCGUAAAGGGAACGCAGGCGUGCUUUUAAGUCUGAUGUGAAAGCCUUCGGCUUAACCGGAGUAGUGCAUUGGAAACUGGGAGACUUGAGUGCAGAAGAGGAGAGUGGAACUCCAUGUGUAGCGGUGAAAUGCGUAGAUAUAUGGAAGAACACCAGUGGCGAGAGCGGCUCUCUGGUCUGUAACUGACGCUGAGGUUCGAAAGCGUGGGUAGCAAACAGGAUUAGAUACCCGUGUAGUC
rnacentral:rRNA from 1 species